rnacentral:rRNA from 1 species
UACGGGGGGGGCAAGCGUUGUUCGGAAUUACUGGGCGUAAAGGGCUCGUAGGCGGCCAGCUAAGUCGGAUGUGAAAUCCCCAGGCUUAACCUGGGAACUGCAUCCGAUACUGGAUGGCUUGAAUCCGGGAGAGGGAUGCGGAAUUCCAGGUGUAGCGGUGAAAUGCGUAGAUAUCUGGAGGAACACCGGUGGCGAAGGCGGCAUCCUGGACCGGCAUUGACGCUGAGGAGCGAAAGCCAGGGGAGCAAACGGG